CCUACGGGAGGCAGCAGUGAGGAAUAUUGGUCAAUGGGCGCGAGCCUGAACCAGCCAAGUCGCGUGAGGGAGGACGGCCCUACGGGUUGUAAACCUCUUUUGCCGGGGAGCAAUGGGCGCCACGUGUGGCGUCACUGAGAGUACCCGGAGAAAAAGCAUCGGCUAACUCCGUGCCAGCAGCCGCGGUAAUACGGAGGAUGCGAGCGUUAUCCGGAUUUAUUGGGUUUAAAGGGUGCGUAGGCGGAUCGUUAAGUCAGUGGUCAAAUUGAGGGGCUCAACCCCUUCCCGCCAUUGAAACUGGCGUUCUUGAGUGCAGUAGAGGUGGGCGGAAUUCGUGGUGUAGCGGUGAAAUGCUUAGAUAUCACGAAGAACUCCGAUUGCGAAGGCAGUUCACUGGACUGCAACUGACACUGAGGCUCGAAAGUGUGGGUAUCAAACAGGAUUAGAUACCCUUGUAGUC
rnacentral:rRNA from 1 species